ensembl:lncRNA
GUCUCCUCUCCUUCGGGAGAACGGAAGGACACCUGCGGCCUACAUUCUGCAAGUGAACCCAGGCACAGCUGUUUGUCUUGUUGAUCUUUUGGAACUUUGGAAAAGUGGGACACAUAAGAGAGCUAGCUGUGGAUGGACCCGACUAAGGCUGCAUGAAAGUUUACUGCAGCAGAAGAUGCCUGCCUGCAGCUACUGAAGAAGAAACCCGUUUCCAUCCCAGCUCCCGCAGCUAGCCUCCUCCCAAGGCCCCCACAGCUAGAAUCAACAUAAAAUAGGAAGCUUUUGACGACUGGAGAGAGUUUCUCUCUAUGGCAGACGGCACUGAUUAAAAUAGGAGGGGAUGCAAUGAAAGCUUGUAG